AUGCUGCCCAAGUUCAACACCGAGAUCAAAGUCGUGUACCUAAGGUACACCAGAGGUGAGGUUGGCGCCACAUCCACCUUGGCCCCUAAGAUCGGUCCUCUGGGUCUGUCUCCAAAAAAAGUUGGUGAUGACAUUGCCAAUGCUACUGGUGACUGGAAAGGUCUCAAGGUUACAGUGAAACUGACCAUCCAGAACAGACAGGCCCAGAUCGAGGUGGUGCCCUCUGCCUCUGCCCUGAUCAUCAAAGCCCUCAAAGAGCCACCAAGAGACAGGAAGAAGCAGAAGAACAUUAAACACAGUGGGAACAUUACAUUUGAUGAG
rnacentral:lncRNA from 1 species